AUUGAACGCUGUCGGCAGGCUUAACACAUGCAAGUCGAGCGGGGGAAGGUAGCUUGCUACCGGACCUAGCGGCGGACGGGUGAGUAAUGCUUAGGAAUCUGCCUAUUAGUGGGGGACAACAUCUCGAAAGGGAUGCUAAUACCGCAUACGUCCUACGGGAGAAAGCAGGUGAUCUUCGGACCUUGCGCUAAUAGAUGAGCCUAAGUCGGAUUAGCUAGUUGGUGGGGUAAAGGCCUACCAAGGCGACGAUCUGUAGCGGGUCUGAGAGGAUGAUCCGCCACACUGGGACUGGGACACGGCCAAGACUCCUACGGGAGGCAGCAGUGGGGGAUAUUGGACAAUGGGGGGAACCCUGAUCCAGCCAUGCCGCGUGUGUGAAGAAGGCCUUAUGGUUGUAAAGCACUUUAAGCGAGGAGGAGGCUCUUUUGGUUAAUACGCAAGAUGAGUGGACGUUACUCGCAGAAUAAGCACCGGCUAACUCUGUGCCAGCCGCCGCCGUAA
rnacentral:rRNA from 1 species